GACGAGCGCUGGCGGCGUGCUUAACACAUGCAAGUCGAACGGAAAGGCCCUGCUUGCAGGGUACUCGAGUGGCGAACGGGUGAGUAACACGUGGGUGAUCUGCCCUGCACUUCGGGAUAAGCCUGGGAAACUGGGUCUAAUACCGGAUAGGAGCCAUUUUUAGUGUGAUGGUUGGAAAGUUUUUUCGGUGUAGGAUGAGCUCGCGGCCUAUCAGCUUGUUGGUGGGGUAAUGGCCUACCAAGGCGGCGACGGGUAGCCGGCCUGAGAGGGUGGACGGCCACAUUGGGACUGAGAUACGGCCCAGACUCCUACGGGAGGCAGCAGUGGGGAAUAUUGCACAAUGGGCGCCAGCCUGAUGCAGCGACGCCGCGUGGGGGAUGACGGCCUUCGGGUUGUAAACUCCUUUCGCUAGGGACGAAGCUUUUUGUGACGGUACCUAGAUAAGAAGCACCGGCUAACUACGUG
rnacentral:rRNA from 1 species